rnacentral:lncRNA from 1 species
UUGUUGCCUUUCACCAAUUGCUACACAGGAAACUUGGCCCUCUGCCUGGGUGGGGUGGGGGUGGGGUGGAUGUCAGGCGGAGCCACAAACUUAUGAAUGAAAAAGGAUGGGUAGAGAGGAGUGAAUGCCUCCCAGGAAGCUGCGACUGCCUGGCGGGCUGAGAUGCUGUCUCCACGUCUGCACCGGCUAGCUCUUCUUCCACACCAGAUUUUUUUUUGUCUCUCAAGCUCUUUCCUGCUUCACUCAGUUUCUUCUAAACUCGCGCGCGCGCACACACACACACACACACACAGAGACACACACGCACGCGCGCGCAGACACACACAUUGAAAAACCUCAGACCUUCUCCAUGUCGGGUCGUACCGCUAGCUAUCUUUCCACCAACCCCUAUUCUCACCACUAUCGGAUCUGUGUCUUUAUAACCAAUUUUCAAAAGAAGCGAUACCUCCUAGCUCCUGAGUACACGGACUGAUGCCCUCAACCCGACCAAAGCAACUUAAGGAAGGAGCUGGAGCACUCUGGAGGAGAACCAGGUGAAGAGGAGGACAAGCCAAACCAGAAGUGGAUAAAGU